AUAAAUGUGUAUGCAUCAUUACUUCUGGUGAUUAAUUAAUUUGGACAUUUGCCAACUUUGUGUGUGUCUAUGAUUACGUGUUUGCUGUCUUAAUAUUUAGAUAGGAAGAAUAUCAUCUAUUAUUAUAGUCCCCACUAGAAGUGUGCGUGUGUGUGACUAGUCUGGGCCCGCCUCUGUGUGUGACAUACUUUGAUGGAUUAAUGAUGUGACCGUACUUGCUUCUCUUUGGAUAAUAAACAGGAUAUACAAGACAGGAUCCUGCUGAAGACACUGAUAAUGAGUUGCCAUUGCUGCAAGUUAGGCCCAGGACUCUAUCAAGAACGACCUACAAGAGACUGGUCUCUUGGACAUUGCUAAACGGGAGGAGAGGAUAGGGAAAGAAUGGAGAAAGAGAGGAAAAGUGCAGAGUGUCUGAACUCUGAAAUUCUAACCUUUGAA